GAGGCCAUUGAGCUGAGAAUUCCUCGCAUGAUCAUGACAGGAACUUCUAUUAAUUUCAAGGAAGAGGAAAAUUAUUUAUAUUUUGUAGAAUAUGCUAUAGAUGGCAAAGAAUUGCCACAAUAGGGAAACGUCUUGUUUGUCACAAAAAUGUAAUUCAAAAGUCAGGGAAUUAAAUGAAUAUAUCAGCAAAUCAAAGGCAUGGAGAAUGAGGGUAUGAUUAUUUCUUAUAGCUGAAGGUUAUGAUUUCAUCAGAGUUGACUUAUUAUUAUUCUUAGUAAGAAUAUGUUUUCUCAUGUCAGCAACAGUGGCAAAAACAUUUGUAAUAAGUAUGACUAGCUAAGGGCAAAACUUUCAACUCAAAUGAUAAGGCGAUAUAUGUUGACCUACGUUGAGCUUAUAAUGAAUGAUUAACUUCACUGAGAUCCCCUAGUCUAGUCAACAACAUCGUCAUCCAAAAAAAAAUAAGGGGCUAAAUUUGCACUAAAAGAUUGGGACGAAGUUCCAAAAGGUACCUUAAAGCUCAGUUUCUCGCAAUUGGAAUAAGUCCCAAAACUAGCAACAACAAAUGCCAAUCAGGCACCUUAAAACUCAGUUUCUUGUAU
rnacentral:misc_RNA from 1 species